rfam:Aedes aegypti strain Liverpool supercont1.383 genomic scaffold, whole genome shotgun sequence.
GGCUCGGUAGCUUAGUUGGUAAAGCGGUCGUCUAGCAUACAAGAGUCCUGGGUUCAAAUCCCAACCGAGCAC